rnacentral:ribozyme from 1 species
UCCAGCAUCUGGCUCUGCAAUGAGAUGGGAUCCGAAACCCUCCGAGGGAUAAUAUAGGCUCUCCCAUCCAACUCCUAUUCCGACACGUCCUUGUCGUGCAGAGUGCUAACAUGUGUCACCACAUAUCCAAGCUUGGGUACACGGGCUUAACCCAACCCCUUGGGCGGAUGGUGGCAUAUUGCGAACCAGGGGGGA